rnacentral:lncRNA from 1 species
CUGUGCUCUGUGGCAGUGGGGCUGUGUGACACUGUGCUGUGGGGCUGUGUGACACUGCUCUGCAGUGGGGCUGUGUGACGCUGUGUGGCAGUGGGGCUGUGUGACGCUGUGCUGUGGCAGUGGGGCUGUGUGACACUGCUCUGCAGCAGUGGGGCUGUGUGACACUGCUCUGUCUGUGGGGCUGUGUGACACUGUGUGGCAGUGGGGCUGUGUGACACUGUGCUCUGUGGCAGUGGGGCUGUGUGACGCUGUGCUGUGGGGCUGUGUGACACUGCUCUGUCUUGGGGCUGUGUGACACUGUGCUCAGCAGUGGGGCUGUGUGAUGUG